rnacentral:snRNA from 1 species
GUGCUCGCUGUGGGCAGCACAUAUACUAAAAUAAGAAUGAUAUAGAGACGAUUAGCAUGGCCCCUCGCAAGGGAUGACACUCAAAUUUGUGAAGCAUUAUAUUUUUUA